rnacentral:rRNA from 1 species
CCUACGGGUGGCAGCAGUGAGGAAUAUUGGUCAAUGGCCGUAAGGCUGAACCAGCCAAGUCGCGUGAAGGAAGAAGGUUCUAUGGUUUGUAAACUUCUUUUAUAGGGGAACAAACGUAUCCACGUGUGCAUUUUUGCAUGUACCCUAUGAAUAAGCAUCGGCUAACUCCGUGCCAGCAGCCGCGGUAAUACGGGGGAUGCGAGCGUUAUCCGGAUUUAUUGGGUUUAAAGGGUGCGUAGGUUGUGUUUUAAGUCAGCGGUGAAAGUUUGUGACUCAACCGUAAAAUUGCCGUUGAAACUGGAAGACUUGAGUGUGUUUGAGGUAGGCGGAAUGCGUGGUGUAGCGGUGAAAUGCAUAGAUAGCACGCAGAACACCGAUUGCGAAGGCAGCUUACU